GGAACGAUGGGUGCUUGCUCCCAGGCGUCGAGCGGCGGACGGGUGAGUAACGCGUGAGAAUCUGCCCAUUUGUGGGGGAUAACUCGGGGAAACUCGAGCUAAUACCGCAUAAUCCCUACGGGGGAAAGCAGGGGACCUUCGGGCCUUGUGCAGAUGGAUGAGCUCGCGUCGGAUUAGCUUGUUGGUGAGGUAAAGGCUCACCAAGGCGACGAUCCGUAGCUGGUCUGAGAGGAUGAUCAGCCACACCGGGACUGAGACACGGCCCGGACUCCUACGGGAGGCAGCAGUGGGGAAUCUUGGACAAUGGGGGCAACCCUGAUCCAGCCAUGCCGCGUGUGUGAAGAAGGCCUUCGGGUUGUAAAGCACUUUCAGUAGGGAGGAAGGCUUACUGCUAAUAACGGUGAGUACUUGACGUUACCUACAGAAGAAGCACCGGCUAAUUUCGUGCCAGCAGCCGCGGUAAUACGAAAGGUGCGAGCGUUAAUCGGAAUUACUGGGCGUAAAGCGCGCGUAGGCGGUUUGUUAAGUCAGAUGUGAAAGCCCCGGGCUCAACCUGGGAAUUGCAUUUGAAACUGGCAGGCUAGAGUGCAGUAGAGGGAGGUGGAAUUUCCGGUGUAGCGGUGAAAUGCGUAGAGAUCGGAAGGAACACCAGUGGCGAAGGCGGCCUCCUGGACUGACACUGACGCUAAGGUGCGAAAGCGUGGGGAGCAAACAGGAUUAGAUACCCUGGUAGUCCACGCCGUAAACGAUGUCUACAAGUCGUUGGGAAUCUUAGUAUUCUUGGUGACGAAUUUAACGCGAUAAGUAGACCGCCUGGGGAGUACGGCCGCAAGGUUAAAACUCAAAUGAAUUGACGGGGGCCCGCACAAG
rnacentral:rRNA from 1 species